AAACAUGUAUAUAACAUGUGAGUUAGUCAUUACUAUUUUUUGGGUUUUUACUUUCUUCAAUUCUUCUUCGAGGUUUAGGCUUUUGAAGUUCAUCUAGACAUUUGCUUGUUGGAGUUAUUUCUUUGGUAAGUGCAUUUCUGUCAUCCUUUCUUUUUCAAUCGUAAUUUCAAGUUUUGCUCUUUUAAUGUACUCCACCUUUGAGGAUAAAAAAGGUGUUUUUUUUACCUGCCUAGGUAGUUUUUCGAUCAAGCUUGAUACUUUUU
rnacentral:lncRNA from 1 species